CCAGCUGGGCUGCCACAGGCAGUCCUUUUCCCAGCUUCUGUCCUGGUUGUUAGGGGAUCACAGGGCUCUGCAUGAACUUGCAGUCCUUGCCACACAUUGAAGGUUAAGCUGGGCCUUGUGUUUGUAUCUGCACAUCCCAAAGCUUUCAGAAUCCUCAAACAGUGAUUGAGACGAUACACCAUGCAGGAAACAGUC
rnacentral:snoRNA from 1 species